AGUCUGAUGCAGCGACGUCGUGUGGGGGAUGAAGGCCUUCGGGUUGUAAACUCCUUUCGCCUGCGGAAAAGGCAGGGUUUUGGCCUUGUUGAUGGUAGUGGGUAAAGAAGCGCCGGCUAACUACGUGCCAGCAGCCGCGGUAAUACGUAGGGCGCGAGCGUUGUCCGGAAUUAUUGGGCGUAAAGGGCUCGUAGGCGGUUUGUCGCGUCUAGCGUUUAAGGCUCGGGCUUAACCCGGGUUUGCGUUGGGUACGGGCAGGCUUGAGUGCGGUAGGGGUAACUGGAAUUCCUGGUGUAGCGGUGGAAUGCGCANAUAUCAGGAGGAACACCGGUGGCGAAGGCGGGUUACUGGGCCGUUACUGACGCUGAGGAGCGAGAGCGUGGGGAGCGAACAGGAUUAGAUACCCUGGUAGUCCAUGCUGUAAACGUUGGGCACUAGGUGUGGGGGCUGGUUUCAUGGUUUCCGCGCCGUAGCUAACGCAUUAAGUGCCCCGCCUGGGGAGUACGGCCGCAAGGCUAAAACUCAAAGGAAAUUG
rnacentral:rRNA from 1 species